AUUGAGCCUCACUUGGACUUGACGCCACUAUAACACAAGCACCGAGAGCUGUGGGUGAUUGUUGAACCUACAUCCAAGGAAAGCUUUGUUGCGCUGCCUGUGUCUGAGAAUAUCUGUCUGCGGGUGAAGCCUGUCGCUGAAAACCAGCAGGAGAGUUUGACUCGCACCAUACUUGGGCUGGCGCCUGCUGAUAACAGAUUGAGGUGGCUGGAGGUGCGUGACUGCGCGUUGACUGAAGCGCAGCUGCUGGAGACGCUGGCGGAGCUGCAGCGUGCUGGCCUCAG